ensembl:snoRNA
AAAGAAGCAUAGCCACACAUCACUGGAAAUGUUUCAUAGAGUAACUCUGUGGUUUUGUUUUACUCUCAAGACUAUUUGUUAGAUCUAUGGGAAGGAACUACAAGAUGGUC